AUCGAACGCUGGCGGCAGGCCUAACACAUGCAAGUCGAGCGGAUGAUGGGAGCUUGCUCCUGGAUUCAGCGGCGGACGGGUGAGUAAUGCCUAGGAAUCUGCCUGGUAGUGGGGGACAACGUUUCGAAAGGAACGCUAAUACCGCAUACGUCCUACGGGAGAAAGCAGGGGACCUUCGGGCCGUGCGCUAUCAGAUGAGCCUAGGUCGGAUUAGCUAGUAGGUGAGGUAAAGGCACACCUAGGCGACGAUCCGUAACUGGGCUGAGAGGAUGAGCAGUCACACUGGAAACGAGAAACGGUCCAGGCUCCUACGGGAGGCAGCAGUGGGGAAUAUUGGACAAUUGGCGAAAGCCUGAUUCAGCCAUGCCGCGUGUGUGAAGAAGGUCUUCGGAUUGUAAAGCACUUUAAGUUGGGAGGAAGGGCAGUAAGUUAAUACCUUGCUGUUUUGACGUUACCGACAGAAUAAGCACCGGCUAACUUCGUGCCAGCCGCCGCGGUAACAC
rnacentral:rRNA from 1 species